GACGAACGCUGGCGGCGUGCUUAACACAUGCAAGUCGAACGGAAAGGCCCUGCUUUUUUGCUGUUCUCGAUUGGCGAACGGGUGAGUAACACGUGUGUAACCUGCCCUUUUCUUUCGUAUAACUUCAGGAAACUGGGGCUAAUACCCUAUAGCAUCUCCUGCUGCAUGGUGGGCGUUGGAAAUUUUCGGCGGUUGGGUAUUGACUCGCGGCUUAUCAGCUUGUUUGUUGGGUAGUUGCUUACCAAGGUUUUGAAGGGUAGCCGGCCUGUGAGGGUGACCGGCGACAAGGGGACUGAGAUACGGCGCAGAGUGGAACGGGAGGCAGCAGGGGGGAAUAUUGCACAAUGGGAGGAAGCCUGAUGAAGAAACGCCGCGUGCGGGAUGACGGCAUUCGGGGUGUAAAAAGCUUUAGGCUGUGACGAAGCGGGAGUGACGGUAAUGGGUAAAGAAGCACCGGCUAACUACGUG
rnacentral:rRNA from 1 species